rnacentral:rRNA from 1 species
GGUCAGAACGAACGCUGGCGGCGCGUUUAAGCAUGCAAGUCGCAGGGUAAAAUUUAGCAAUAGAAUGAGACUGGCGAACGGGUGAGUAACACGUGAAAAUCUACCUGAGAUGGGGGGAUAGCCGGUAGAAAUAUCGGGUAAUACCGCAUAUGCCGAGAGGUGAAAGGGGCAACUGCUCCGUCUUGAGAUGAGUUUGCGUCUGAUUAGAUAGUUGGCGAGGUAAAGGCUCACCAAGUCUACGAUCAGUAGCCGGCCUGAGAGGGUGAUCGGCCACAUUGGGACUGAGACACGGCCCAGACUCCUACGGGAGGCAGCAGCUAAGAAUAUUCCGCAAUGGGAGAAAUCCUGACGGAGCGACGCCGCGUGAACGAUUGAAGGCCAGAAAUGUUGUAAAGUUCUUUUAUUAGGGAAGAAUAAGGCUGGUAGUGGAAAGAUCAGUCGAUGACGGUACCUAAUGAAUAAGCCACGGCUAACUGCGUGCCAGCCGCUGC